rnacentral:misc_RNA from 1 species
GGAAGAGCUUCUGAAAGACAGAAAUUAUGCAAAUGAGUUGUACUUACAGGUAAAAUCUGAAAUUAAACAUAAUAUGGACUACUUGUUGAAGAAGAGAGAGGAGGAUCCUUAUAGGAGUAUCAUUGAUAGAACACUAUAUGGUGCAAUAAAUUCUCGUUGGCAAGACAUUCCUGCAUUUGAUCCUUGAAAUAUGCAUAGACGAUGCAGUAUUAGGUCUCUAAACUUCCACAAACAAUCCAUUUCACUGAAAGUGAAGUGUAUACAAAAUAAAAAGUAUAUGUAAUAAAAG